AGUGCUUCUAGGCCCUGGUCAUAAAGCAGUAAACAAGACAAACAGGACUUUCUGAUCUCGUGAAGAAAACUAAACAGGGCAGACAGAGUGCCAGCCUGCCAUGCAAGCACCGUGAUCAGGGAAGGGCUCGCCAGAAGGCCCAUGAGCGAGACCUGUAGAAGUGAGAGAGCCACCCACAAAGAUGUUGGAGAAAGGAUGUUGCAGACAGAGGCCCAGAGGAAGGAGCAUAACCUAACACGUUUGAAGAGCAGGAAGCAGUCAAGAGAGGGUGAGCAAAGGAAGCACAUGUGAGGUGGAGAAGGAAGGGGCUGGGGGCCACCAGAUGGAGGGUUUUUGGUUUUUACUGAUUGUGGUGAGAAGCCAUUGGACAUGUUUACAAAGGACUGAUAUUACCAGACCUGUCUUUUAACAGGAUCCCUACGUAAUGAAUAGAAGACUAAGAAGAACCAGUGGAAGAGGGAGAACAGUUAAGAGACUAUUGCCAUAAUCCAAGUGCAAGGUGGAGGUGACUUGGACCAGGAGUAGCAAGAUGAGUGGUGAAGAGGGGUCAGGUUAUGGAUCUAUUUGGAAGGUAGAAUCACAGACGUUCUGACAGAUUAAAUUAAGCAUAGUGGAGAAAGAAGGGAGUGUAAGGAUUAUCUCCUAGGUACGUGGGUAUACCCAUUUGGAGUUCAAGGGUAAGGUCUGGACUAAACCUUUGAAUCUGGGAGUCGUCAGUGUAUGGAUGGUGCUUAAAGCUAUGAGACUGUUUGAAAUCCCUAAGGGAGUACAUGCGGGUAGAGAAGAUGUCAGAGGACUAGCCCCUAAGCUGUUGCAGCGUGUAAAGCACAGGGUGAACAGCAGGAACCGCAAAGCAGAGGGAGAAAUGAGGCCAACGAUGAAGGAAGGAAACCAAGAAGUCUGGGGUGUCAUGGAGCCAAGUGAGAAAGUGUUUGAGGGUCAGGCAACAACCAGCUGUGCAAAUGCUAUUCAUGGCUAAGUGAGAAGAGGGUUAAGAAUUGAUCAUGGGCUAUAACAACAUGGAAGAUAUUCACAUUUUGAAAUGAGCAAUUUCUGUGAAAGGACAGAGGAAACUGUCAGACCUAGUGGAUCUGAGAGGAAAAAUGAAGACAGAAAUUGGAGAUGAAUGAGCAGCUGCACGGCUUCCCGGGCAUCACAGAAUCUCAGCCGUCAGAGUCACCAUAUUCUCCAAGAACGACGUCGUCUUCUCGGUCAAAGUCACCAUAUUCUCCAAGAGUGACGUCGUCCUUCAGUCACCUCCUUGUGCUUCACCCCACCACACUCCUGCCUUCUUUAGCAACUGUUGUGUUUGGACGGCCCUCACGGCCUCCAUAAUCUCCAAGAGUGACGUCGCCUUCUCAGUCAAAGUCACCAUAUUCUCCAACAGCGACGUCGUCUUCUCAGUCACAUCCUUGUGCUUCACCCCGCCGCGCUCCCGCCUUCCUUAGCAUCUCUUCACCCCG
rnacentral:lncRNA from 1 species